UUAAGUUCAGCGGGUAGUCCUACCUGAUUUGAGGUCUAGUCUUAAAUAGUGCCGAUAAAGGCCGUUCGAAGCAGUCUUCCCUUUGACCAGAUGAAACUUAUUACAUCAGGCUACAGUUGGUACCACUAAGGCAUUCAAGGUGAGCAAAUUGCAACACCCAAAUCCACCUCUUGAAAGAAAAAACUCUCAAGUGUGAGGUU
rnacentral:misc_RNA from 1 species